CGCACAGGAACGCGCAGGCGAGGCCGAAUUCUUCCGGAUCGCCGAAGCGUCCGGCAGGGUUCAGCUUGGCGCGUUGCUUCAGCAGGUCCUCGACGGAAAUGCCCUGCGCGUCCGCGGCCUUCUGCGCGAUCGGACCGCGGAUGCGGUCGGUGUCGAACGGUCCCGGCAACAGGCCGUUGAUGGUGACAUUGGCGAUCACGGUCUUGCGCGCGAUGCCGGCGACG
rnacentral:misc_RNA from 1 species